rnacentral:rRNA from 1 species
ACGGAGUGCUAAAACCGGAUAGGUAGCAGACAAGCAUUUGACUGCUAUUAAAGUGGCUAAGGCCAUGAACAUGGAUGGACCUGCGGUGCAUUAGCUAGUUGGUGAGGUAACGGCCCACCAAGGCGACGAUGCAUAGCCGGCCUGAGAGGGCGGACGGCCACAUUGGGACUGAGACACGGCCCAAACUCCUACGGGAGGCAGCAUG